GCUUAUGGUCAUAACACCCUCAGCAGGCCCAAUCUCGUCUGAUCUUGGACCUGGUUAAUACUUGGAUGGGAGACCGCCUGGGAAUACCAGGUGCUGUAAGUU
rnacentral:rRNA from 1 species